GGUGUGUGGUUUCUUUGCAAUGGUAGUGUUUGCUGUGGACACCGUUAUUUCUUUUAUGUCUUAUACCAAGUCUUCAAAGUAACUCUAUCUUGUAGUUGUUUUUUAUCUUGCUAAACUUGUCACAAUAAAGUGUAAUUAUGAACAAAAAUGAGUCUGACCAGUAGUUUAUUCCUAGUACGUGUGGGAGGAUGGCAUGAAUAGCAGUACGAUCCCUUCCAUUAGAUGCGUGUCCGGUGGAACUGUAUACGGAAAAAAGAAGGAAAACGCAGUUUUUCACUAAAAUGACUGAGGACUGUUUCAUACCUCGAACUUUUGAUGCAGUGAAUAUAAUGUAAGGCCUGGAUCAAGAGUUACUCUUUUCA